GUUUGACCUUUCAAGGUCACUCAAGGUCAAAGGUCAUGGCACCAAAUGAAAGCCCAUAUGUGACUUCCUAUCUAUUGCCAAUAGUAAUUAUAACAAUAUCUUCAACUGUUUUGAAGUUAUAGCAGUUUAAAAUGUGUCCCAUUUUAAACCAAUGGGGAUUUUUCAAAAUUCAAAAAUUCACAAAAAAAUUCUAAAAUCAUUAUUUCCCAAUUCUUUGAACAAACUUGGUAGACCUUAC